UGGAUCCAGACUUUGAUCCUGGCUCAGGACGAACGCUGGCGGCGCGCCUAACACAUGCAAGUCGAACGAGCGAGUGAGAGCUUGCUUUCUCGAGCGAGUGGCGAACGGGUGAGUAACGCGUGAGGAACCUGCCUCAAAGAGGGGGACAACAGUUGGAAGCGACUGCUAAUACCGCAUAAGCCCACGACCCGGCAUCGGGUAGAGGGAAAAGGAGCAAUCCGCUUUGAGAUGGCCUCGCGUCCGAUUAGCUAGUUGGUGAGGUAAUGGCCCACCAAGGCGACGAUCGGUAGCCGGACUGAGAGGUUGAACGGCCACAUUGGGACUGAGACACGGCCCAGACUCCUACGGGAGGCAGCAGUGGGGAAUAUUGCACAAUGGGGGAAACCCUGGUGCAGCGACGCCGCGUGGAGGAAGAAGGUCUUCGGAUUGUAAACUCCUGUUGUUGAGGAAGAUAAUGACGGUACUCAACAAGGAAGUGACGGCUAACUACGUGCCAGCAGCCGCGGUAAAACGUAGGUCACAAGCGUUGUCCGGAAUUACUGGGUGUAAAGGGAGCGCAGGCGGGAAGACAAGUUGGAAGUGAAAUCCAUGGGCUCAACCCAUGAACUGCUUUCAAAACUGUUUUUCUUGAGUAGUGCAGAGGUAGGCGGAAUUCCCGGUGUAGCGGUGGAAUGCGUAGAUAUCGGGAGGAACACCAGUGGCGAAGGCGGCCUACUGGGCACCAACUGACGCUGAGGCUCGAAAGUGUGGGUAGCAAACAGGAUUAGAUACCCUGGUAGUCCACACUGUAAACGAUGAUUACUAGGUGUUGGAGGAUUGACCCCUUCAGUGCCGCAGUUAACACAAUAAGUAAUCCACCUGGGGAGUACGACCGCAAGGUUGCAACUCAAAUGAAUUGACGGA
rnacentral:rRNA from 1 species